rnacentral:rRNA from 1 species
UACGAAGGGUGCAAGCGUUGUUCGGAAUUACUGGGCGUAAAGGGCGUGUAGGCGGCCAACUAAGUCCGACGUGAAAUCCCCAGGCUUAACCUGGGAACUGCGUCGGAUACUGGAUGGCUUGAAUCCGGGAGAGGGAUGCAGAAUUCCAGGUGUAGCGGUGAAAUGCGUAGAUAUCUGGAGGAAUACCGGUGGCGAAGGCGGCAUCCUGGACCGGCAUUGACGCUGAAGCGCGAAAGCUAGGGGAGCAAACGGG